rnacentral:rRNA from 1 species
CCAUUAGAUGUUCUGGGCCGCACGCGCGCUACACUGAUGCAUUCAACAAGCCUAGCCUUGACCGAGAGGUCCGGGUAAUCUUUGAAACUGCAUCGUGAUGGGGCUAGAUUAUUGCAAUUAUUAAUCUUCAACGAGGAAUGCCUAGUAAGCGUGAUUCAUCAAAUCGCGUUGAUUACGUCCCUGCCCUUUGUACACACCGCCCGUCGCUCCUACCGAUUGAAUGUGUUGGUGAGGAGCUCGGAUUGGCAGCAGUUGGUGGUUCGCCACCGGCUAUUGCUGAGAAGUCCUCCAAACCGCCCCAUUUAGAGGAAGGAGAAGUCGUAACA